CAGUACCGUGAGGGAAAGGCGAAAAGAACCCCGGCGAGGGGAGUGAAAAAGAACCUGAAACCGUGUACGUACAAGCAGUGGGAGCCUCUUAAUGGGGUGACUGCGUACCUUUUGUAUAAUGGGUCAGCGACUUAUAUUCUGUAGCAAGGUUAACCGAAUAGGGGAGCCGAAGGGAAACCGAGUCUUAACUGGGCGUUAAGUUGCAGGGUAUAGACCCGAAACCCGGUGAUCUAGCCAUGGGCAGGUUGAAGGUUGGGUAACACUAACUGGAGGACCGAACCGACUAAUGUUGAAAAAUUAGCGGAUGACUUGUGGCUGGGGGGGAAAGGCCAAUCAAACCGGGAGAUAGCUGGUUCUCCCCGAAAGCUAUUUAGGUAGCGCCUCGUGAAUUCAUCUCCGGGGGUAGAGCACUGUUUCGGCAAGGGGGUCAUCCCGACUUACCAACCCGAUGCAAACUGCGAAUACCGGAGAAUGUUAUCACGGGAGACACACGGCGGGUGCUAACGUCCGUCGUGAAGAGGGAAACAACCCAGACCGCCAGCUAAGGUCCCAAAGUCAUGGUUAAGUGGGAAACGAUGUGGGAAGGCCCAGACAGCCAGGAUGUUGGCUUAGAAGCAGCCAUCAUUUAAAGAAAGCGUAAUAGCUCACUGGUCGAGUCGGCCUGCGCGGAAGAUGUAACGGGGCUAAACCAUGCACCGAAGCUGCGGCAGCGACACUAUGUGUUGUUGGGUAGGGGAGCGUUCUGUAAGCCUGUGAAGGUGUACUGUGAGGUAUGCUGGAGGUAUCAGAAGUGCGAAUGCUGACAUAAGUAACGAUAAAGCGGGUGAAAAGCCCGCUCGCCGGAAGACCAAGGGUUCCUGUCCAACGUUAAUCGGGGCAGGGUGAGUCGACCCCUAAGGCGAGGCCGAAAGGCGUAGUCGAUGGGAAACAGGUUAAUAUUCCUGUACUUGGUGUUACUGCGAAGGGGGGACGGAGAAGGCUAUGUUGGCCGGGCGACGGUUGUCCCGGUUUAAGCGUGUAGGCUGGUUUUCCAGGCAAAUCCGGAAAAUCAAGGCUGAGGCGUGAUGACGAGGCACUACGGUGCUGAAGCGACAAAUGCCCUGCUUCCAGGAAAAGCCUCUAAGCAUCAGGUAACAUCAAAUCGUACCCCAAACCGACACAGGUGGUCAGGUAGAGAAUACCAAGGCGCUUGAGAGAACUCGGGUGAAGGAACUAGGCAAAAUGGUGCCGUAACUUCGGGAGAAGGCACGCUGAUAUGUAGGUGAAGCGACUUGCUCGUGGAGCUGAAAUCAGUCGAAGAUACCAGCUGGCUGCAACUGUUUAUUAAAAACACAGCACUGUGCAAACACGAAAGUGGACGUAUACGGUGUGACGCCUGCCCGGUGCCGGAAGGUUAAUUGAUGGGGUUAGCGGUAACGCGAAGCUCUUGAUCGAAGCCCCGGUAAACGGCGGCCGUAACUAUAACGGUCCUAAGGUAGCGAAAUUCCUUGUCGGGUAAGUUCCGACCUGCACGAAUGGCGUAAUGAUGGCCAGGCUGUCUCCACCCGAGACUCAGUGAAAUUGAACUCGCUGUGAAGAUGCAGUGUACCCGCGGCAAGACGGAAAGACCCCGUGAACCUUUACUAUAGCUUGACACUGAACAUUGAGCCUUGAUGUGUAGGAUAGGUGGGAGGCUUUGAAGUGUGGACGCCAGUCUGCAUGGAGCCGACCUUGAAAUACCACCCUUUAAUGUUUGAUGUUCUAACGUGGGCCCCUUACCGGGGUUGCGGACAGUGUCUGGUGGGUAGUUUGACUGGGGCGGUCUCCUCCUAAAGAGUAACGGAGGAGCACGAAGGUUGGCUAAUCCUGGUCGGACAUCAGGAGGUUAGUGCAAUGGCAUAAGCCAGCUUGACUGCGAGCGUGACGGCGCGAGCAGGUGCGAAAGCAGGUCAUAGUGAUCCGGUGGUUCUGAAUGGAAGGGCCAUCGCUCAACGGAUAAAAGGUACUCCGGGGAUAACAGGCUGA
rnacentral:rRNA from 1 species